rnacentral:rRNA from 1 species
CUUUUCAUAAAUGUAAGUAGUUUAUGGAAUAAGGGGAGGGAAAGUUCUGGUGUCAGCCGCCGCGGUAAUACCAGCUCCCCGAGUGGUUGGGACGAUUAUUGGGCCUAAAGCAUCCGUAGCCUGUUUUGUAGGUCUCAUGUUAAAUCCAUUCGCUCAACGAAUGGUCUGCAUGAGAUACCGCAUUACUAGGAGGCGGGAGACGUGAACGGUAUUCCAUGGGUAGGGGUAAAAUCCUCUGAACCAUGGAAGACCACCAGUGGCGAAGGCGGUUCACGAGAACGCGCUCGACGGUGAGGGAUGAAAGCUGGGGUAGCGAACCGGAUUAGAUACCCGGGUAGUCCCAGCUGUAAACGAUGCAAGCUAGGUGAUGGAUUAACCAUGUGUUAAUCCAGUGCCGCAGGGAAGCCGUUAAGCUUGCCGCCUGGGGAGUACGGUCGCAAGGCUGAAACU